UACGGAGGGUGCAAGCGUUAUCCGGAUUUACUGGGUGUAAAGGGUGCGUAGGUGGGUAGGUAAGUCAGUGGUGAAAUCUUCAAGCUUAACUUGGAAACUGCCAUUGAUACUAUUUAUCUUGAAUACUUUGGAGGUAAGCGGAAUAUGUCAUGUAGCGGUGAAAUGCUUAGAUAUGACAUAGAACACCAAUUGCGAAGGCAGCUUACUACACAGUUAUUGACACUGAGGCACGAAAGCGUGGGGAUCAAACAGG
rnacentral:rRNA from 1 species